rnacentral:other from 1 species
CUUUUCCUGAAGUGUGCGACAACUCUUGAUAUUUUGAACCUACAUUUAUCGAUUGGGACUCCUACAUCUAUAGGGCGAUGUCAGGCCAUCAUUGCGUAGUGGAAGACAGAGAACUAUAUGCGGAAACCCACCUAGCUCAGGCUAGGCGUCAAAAUUCAAGAACCGGCAUUUUGGGGCUCAA